rnacentral:rRNA from 1 species
CUAGAUGUGAAAGCCCCGGGCUCAACCUGGGAUGGUCAUUUAGAACUGGCAGACUAGAGUCUUGGAGAGGGGAGUGGAAUUCCAGGUGUAGCGGUGAAAUGCGUAGAUAUCUGGAGGAACAUCGGUGGCGAAGGCGACUCCCUGGCCAAAGACUGACGCUCAUGUGCGAAAGUGUGGGUAGCGAACAGGAUUAGAUACCCUGGUAGUCCACACCGUAAACGCUGUCUACUAGCUGUGUGUGCCUUUAAGGCGUGCGUAGCGAAGCUAACGCGCUAAGUAGACCGCCUGGGGAGUACGGCCGCAAGGUUAAAACUCAAAUGAAUUGGCGG